UACGUAGGGCGCGAGCGUUGUCCGGAAUUAUUGGGCGUAAAGAGCUCGUAGGCGGCCUGUCGCGUCCGCUGUGAAAACCCGGGGCUUAACCCCGGGCCUGCAGUGGAUACGGGCAGGCUGGAGGCAGGCAGGGGGAGAACGGAAUUCCCCGGUGUAGGCGGUGAAAUGCGCAGAUAUCGGGAGGAACACCGGUGGCGAAGGCGGUUCUCUGGGCCUUACCUGACGCUGAGGAGCGAAAGCGUGGGGAGCGAACAGG
rnacentral:rRNA from 1 species